rnacentral:misc_RNA from 1 species
UCCGGUUUGUCACCGGCAGUCUCGCUAAAGUGCCCAACCAAAUGAUGGCAAUUAGCGACAAGGGUUGCGCUCGUUGCGGGACUUAACCCAACAUCUCACGACACGAGCUGACGACAGCCAUGCAGCACCUGUGUCCAGGCUCCCGAAGGCACCCCCGGAUCUCUCCAGGGUUCCUGGCAUGUCAAGGGUAGGUAAGGUUUUUCGCGUUGCAUCGAAUUAAUCCACAUCAUCCACCGCUUGUGCGGGUCCCCGUCAAUUCCUUUGAGUUUUAACCUUGCGGCCGUACUCCCCAGGCGGUCGACUUCACGCGUUAGCUGCGUCACUCAGCGCGUUACCGCACCGAACGACUAGUCGACAUCGUUUAGGGCGUGGACUAC